rnacentral:ncRNA from 1 species
AGGAGCCGUAUGAGGUGAAAUCUCAUGUACGGUUCUGUAAUAGCGAUGGCAACAGUGAUGUUAUCGUCGACUAUGAU